AAGGCGGAAAGAUGGGUCAGAUCAUCCUGGCCGGCUCCCUAGUCUGUAAGAUUACCUGCCACCCGUGUUUCUAAAGUCCAUUUUAAGGGCAGUACAGAAUCGCCUCCUAGGACUAUAUCUAUUCACGGAUGAAUUUCUCAGAUAAAGCAAAUGCACACAGUGAACCCCAACCUGGGAAUCUUCUCUCAUUAAGAGAAAAUCGAUAUCCAUGUCUUCCUUGUGAUUUAUGUGCAUAAACGAUGGCUUAUAUGAAUCACUCCUAAAUGGUUAACUACGCAAGCAGACUGUUCAUCUAGUUCUCCGUGAGAGUCGCUCCUUAUGUUCGCCAGGCUGCCUCCCUCCUUGCUCAAAUCCCAUGUUUCCAGAAAGCCCUCGCUGACAGCUACAAUGAAGACUUUUAACAGCCCUUAUUCAACCUGAUCCCUGUCCCUUUCCCCGGGCUCACCCGUGACCUGCUCUCACUAUCUGACGCUGCAGUCACAAUGAAAUAAAGUAAGGACAGCAAUCACAUAA